rnacentral:rRNA from 1 species
GAUGAACGCUGGCGGCGUGCCUAAUACAUGCAAGUCGAGCGAACAGACGAGGAGCUUGCUCCUCUGACGUUAGCGGCGGACGGGUGAGUAACACGUGGAUAACCUACCUAUAAGACUUGGAUAACUUCGGGAAACCGGAGCUAAUACCGGAUAAUAUUUUGAACCGCAUGGUUCAAUAGUGAAAGACGGUUUUGCUGUCACUUAUAGAUGGAUCCGCGCUGCAUUAGCUAGUUGGUAAGGUAACGGCUUACCAAGGCAACGAUGCGUAGCCGACCUGAGAGGGGGAUCGGCAAAACGGGAACUGAGACACGGUCCAGAGUCCUACGGGAGGGAGCAGUAGGGAAUAUUACGCAAUGGGCGAAAGCAUGACGGAGCAACGCCGAGUGAGUGAUGAAGGUAUUCGGAUCGUAAAACUCUGUUAUUAGGGAAGAACAAAUGUGUAAGUAACUAUGCACGUAUUGACGGUACCUAAUCAGAAAGCCACGGCUAACUACGUG